GGAUCCAGACUUUGAUCCUGGCUCCAGGAUGAACGCUGGCGGCAUGCCUAAGACAUGCAAGUCGAACGAGAUGGCCCAGUGAAGGUUGAGUGCUUGCACGAGGCUGAAUCUGGAUUCCCAUCUAGUGGCAGACGGGUGAGUAACACGUGGGUGACCUACCUUUUCGUUGGGGAUAACAGUUGGGAAACGAUUGCUAAUACCGAAUAAAAUGUAAGAGUCAAUUUUACAUUGAAAGGAGCCUUUAAAGCUUCGCGAUUAGAUGGGCCUGCGGCGUAUUAACUAGUUGGUGAGGUAAUGGCUUACCAAGGUGACGAUGCGUAGCCGAACUGAGAGGUUGAUCGGCCACAUUGGGACUGAGACACGGCCCAAACUCCUACGGGAGACAGCAGUUAGGAAUAUUCGUCAAUGGAGGAAACUCUGAACGAGCAAUGCCGCGUGAGUGAUGAAGGUCUUAUAGAUUGUAAAACUCUGUUGUAUGGAAAAAACGACUAGGUUAGGAAAUGAACUUAGUGUGAUGGUACCAUACCAGAAAGCCCCGGCUAACUACGUGCCAGCAGCCGCGGUAAUACGUAGGGGGCGAGCGUUAUCCGGAUUUAUUGGGCGUAAAGCGUGUGUAGGCGGUUUAUUAAGUUUAAGAUUAAAGCCCGGGGCUCAACUCCGGUAAGUCUUAAAAACUGGUAGACUUGAGUACGGUAGAGGCAAACGGAAUUUCUAGUGUAGCGGUGAAAUGCGUAGAUAUUAGAAGGAACACCAGUGGCGAAAGCGGUUUGCUGGGCCGUUA
rnacentral:rRNA from 1 species